GACUUCCAGCUGGAGCAUCCCAGGCAGCCCGCGCGCUCUCGCGCUAUCGCUGAGCCUAGGAGCGCGGGGUUCUGUCUUCAAAUGGAUUUUAAACACUUCGAAGGCAGAGAAGGACUCUCCUAAACUUUACAUCUACCGACUCAGUUGAAUAGAUGAUGCACAAUAGAUUGAAGUUCAAUGAUGAAUACAAUUCCUCAUUGAGAGGAUACUGGCUCAUCAGCAUGCACCAAUGGCAUGCCUCACGUUCAGAAAAACAAAGAUGAGGGCAGCUAUGGAAAGCAAUUGAUAUUCCUGCCCAGGUUGGAGUUGAUGUGCAAAUGGAUAAACACAGUGUUUCCAUUCCGAAGAAGCUAUAUGGAAUCACACCAGCAGGGGUUUGAUCCUGAAUUUCCUUCUGUUUUUAGCUCUGUUGUCAUUUCAGAAGCUGAGAAACCAAGAAUCUCCUAGAGAUGUAUUAAGGGAUUCCAACCCCCAAGAGAGAACGAUGCAACAAUUAGCAAUCACAUAAAAAGUAAACAAUAAAGCAUGUAACAAUACAAGGGGGGGUAUUACAAAAUGGAUUUAUAAAUGUGGGGUGGUAUUAGUUUAGUAUGACUUUGUUACUCACUAUUAUUAACAUAGUGC
ensembl:lncRNA